UCUGAUAUCUCGCCCUGUGGUGGAAUCAGAUGUUUGGGAAUGCAGCCCAAAGCUUCUCGGUAAACUCCAUCUAAGGCUAAAUACGGUCACGAGACCGAUAGCGAACAAGUACCGUGAGGGAAAGUUGAAAAGCACUUUGGAGAGAGAGUUAAAAAGUACGUGAAACCGUCGAGAGGCAAACGGGAGGGCCUGUCGGGUCGUUCGGUCGCUUUCAGGCGGGCCGGAGACCGGGUCGCGGGAUCGGGGACCUUCGCGGGCCUCGACUCGCGUCGCCGGCCGACGGCUCGGCGCACUAGCGUCGGACGAGGGCCGCGACCGGCUGGGCGGCGGGCAAACGGCUCCGGGCAAGGUAACCCCGCUUCGGCGGGGUGCUACAGGCCCGGUGCGCGCAAGGGUCGCCGCCCGGUCGAGGAGAGAUGCGCGCCGCACCUGCCCCGUUCGCGGGGCCGGGGAAGCCGUUCGAGCAGCGUCGUGUCGCGGUCCGGGACUGUCCUCAGUCCCGGGUCGUCUCGGCGCGGUUCCGAGCGGUCGCUCCCUCGCGAGGUGCCGCGGGUCAGCGGCUGACGCCAGCCACCUUCCCGACCCGUCUUGAAACACGGACCAAGGAGUCUAACAUGUGCGCGAGCCGCGGGGCAGUACCACACCCGUAAGGCGAAAUGAAGGUGAACGCCGGCGCGGUCCGGCGGAGGUUGGAUCCCGUCCCGUCGGGGCGGGCGCACUACCGGCCGAUCUUCUCCGCCCUGUCGGCGAGGUCGAGCGAGAGCGUGCAAGUCGGGACCCGAAAGAUGGUGAACUAUGCCUGAGGAGGUUGAAGCCAGAGGAAACUCUGGUGGAGGACCGUAGCGAUUCUGACGUGCAAAUCGAUCGUCAAAUUUGGGUAUAGGGGCGAAAGACUAAUCGAACCGUCUAGUAGCUGGUUCCCUUCGAAGUUUCCCUCAGGAUAGCUGGCGCUCUGUCGCAGUUUUAUCUGGUAAAGCGAAUGAUUAGAGGUCUUGGGGGCGAAACGCCCUCAACCUAUUCUCAAACUUUAAAUUGGUAAGAAGCCCGACUCGCUCGUUUGGAGCCGGGCAUGGAAUGCGAGUGCCAAGUGGGCCACUCUUGGUAAGCAGGACUGGCGAUGCGGGAUGAACCGAACCCCGGGUUAAGGCGCCCGACGCGACGCUCAUCAGAGCCCACAAAAGGUGUUGGUUGAUAUAGACAGCAGGACGGUGGCCAUGGAAGUCGGAAACCGCUAAGGAGUGUGUAACAACUCACCUGCCGAAUCAAUCAGCCCUGAAAAUGGAUGGCGCUGGAGCGUCGGGCCUAUACCCGGCC
rnacentral:ncRNA from 1 species